GUGCUUGCUUCAGCCGUACAUAUGUAAAAUUGGAAUGAUACAGAGAAGAUUGGCAUGGCCCCUGUGCAAGGAUGACACACAAAUUCAUGAAGCGUUCCAUAUUUAA